rnacentral:rRNA from 1 species
GAUGAACGCUGGCCGCAUGCUUAACACAUGCAAGUCGAACGAAGGAUGCUUUGCUUGCAUCGCAUCCUUAGUGGCGAACGGGUGAGUAACGCGUUGGUGACCUACCCCAAAGCGAGGGAUAGCAACUGGAAACGGUUGGUAAUACCUCAUAAAAUCCUACGGAUUAGAAGCCGUUUGAUUAAAGGAGUAAUCCACUUUGGGAGGGGCCUGCGUCCCAUCAGCUAGUUGGUAGGGUAAUGGCCUACCAAGGCGAUGACGGGGUAGGGGACCUGAGAGGGUGGCCCCCCACAAUGGAACUGAAACACGGUCCAUACACCUACGGGAGGCAG